GAUGAACGCUGGCGGCGUGCUUAACACAUGCAAGUCGAACGAAGCACUUUAUUUGAUUUCCUUCGGGACUGAUUAUUUUGUGACUGAGUGGCGGACGGGUGAGUAACGCGUGGGUAACCUGCCUUGUACAGGGGGAUAACAGUUGGAAACGGCUGCUAAUACCGCAUAAGCGCACAGCAUCGCAUGAUGCAGUGUGAAAAACUCCGGUGGUAUAAGAUGGGCCCGCGUUGGAUUAGCUAGUUGGUGAGGUAACGGCCCACCAAGGCGACGAUCCAUAGCCGACCUGAGAGGGUGACCGGCCACAUUGGGACUGAGACACGGCCCAAACUCCUACGGGAGGCAGCAGUGGGGAAUAUUGCACAAUGGGCGAAAGCCUGAUGCAGCGACGCCGCGUGAGCGAAGAAGUAUUUCGGGAUGUAAAGCUCUAUCAGCAGGGAAGAUAAUGACGGUACCUGACGAAGAAGCACCGGCUAAAUACGUG
rnacentral:rRNA from 1 species